UGGGAGCAGUAAUCCUCUAGCACCUCUUCCCUCCCAUUCUUUCCCUGGAUGCUGCUAAAAGUAGUGAUGGGGUGGUUCCUUCCGGCAGUGCCAUGUGGCAACAGGGUGGGCACUGACUUGCAAAGGAGCUGGAAUCCCUCAGUGCAGCAGAAACUGCUGCGAGAUUUUUGCAGAGGAUGCUCAUGCUCAUUUGAAACGAAAGGUCUGUAUGGAUCCAUACCAAAGAUUGGACUGACCUGGGACUCCAAAAUCAAGCAGAUUUGGAGAUUACAGCCAAUGUGACCUCACUACAGCCAAAUUUCCAGAGUGGUCGAGGGACUGAGAUGUAGAGAUGAGAGUGUGGACUGAGGGAAGAUGGAUCAGAGGAACUGCAUAGCUUCAGCCUCUACCUGGCUUUGCACAAAGCCACUACCUGUUGUAGCAGGUCUCCAGGUUGGGAUUUUGGACCAUCUCAGACAUUCCUCUGGCCAUCUCCUGCGCUGAGGUCAGCACAUAGGCAGUAUUUGUAUGCCUCGACAUGUUAAUUAAUAUCCUGGGUGGGAGCGUGCUAGUCCUGCUGCAGGAUUGACCCAACUGGAUGCAGGUAAGAUACUUUCAAGCAGUCAGCAGAAAGUGUUCCUGCAGAUGCUGAAAUGUGACACAAAAGACAAUCUGCAUUUAAAAGAUGGAAAAAAAAAUGUGCAGAGUUUAAAAUAAGAAAAAUGAUAACCCAUGCCCUGGAGAUGGCAAGUAGGACCACAGGCCAGCUAUUUAGUAAGACCUGAAAACC